AGCGAACGCUGGCGGCAGGCCUAACACAUGCAAGUCGAACGAACUCUUCGGAGUUAGUGGCGGACGGGUGAGUAACACGUGGGAACGUGCCUUUAGGUUCGGAAUAACUCAGGGAAACUUGUGCUAAUACCGAAUGUGCCCUUCGGGGGAAAGAUUUAUCGCCUGUAGAGCGGCACGCGUCUGAUUAGCUAGUUGGUGAGGUAAAGGCUCACCAAGGCGACGAUCAGUAGCUGGUCUGAGAGGAUGAUCAGCCACAUUGGGACUGAGACACGGCCCAAACUCCUACGAGAGGCAGCAGUGGGGAAUCUUGCGCAAUGGGCGAAAGCCUGACGCAGCCAUGCCGCGUGAAUGAUGAAGGUCUUAGGAUUGUAAAAUUCUUUCACCGGGGACGAUAAUGACGGUACCCGGAGAAGAAGCCCCGGCUAACUUCGUGCCAGCCGCCGCAGUAA
rnacentral:rRNA from 1 species